rnacentral:rRNA from 1 species
UACGUAGGGGGCAAGCGUUGUCCGGAUUUAUUGGGCGUAAAGCGCUCGCAGGUGGUUCGUCGCGUCGUGCGUGAAAGCCCCCGGCUCAACUGGGGAGGGUCAUUCGAUACUGAUUGACUUGAAGGCAGGAGAGGGUAGUGGAAUUCCCGGUGUAGUGGUGAAAUGCGUAGAUAUCGGGAGGAACACCAGUGGCGAAGGCGGCCAACUGGUCCGGCACUGACGCUGAGGUGCGAAAGCGUGGGGAGCAAACAGG